rnacentral:SRP_RNA from 1 species
GGCCCCUCGCGACGCUAGAUCGAAAAUCCCGCCAGGGCCGGAAGGCAGCAACGGUAUCGAUCGACGCGGGCGCCGAGGUCAGCCG